ACAAGCUAUCUACCUAUUUUGCACUAUAUGAAAAGUAGUAUGUUUUUAUUUUUAAAACAAAAAAUACUCAACUAUAUUAAGUAAAAAGGAAGUUUCUCUUUCCCUCAACCCAACCAGCCCAUUUCCCAGGAGAUAUCUACUAUUUCCUGUAGCUCCUUCUGGAAUCUUCUCUUGGCUUUUACAAAUAUAAGUACAAACACAUCAAUAACACAGAUAUAUACAUACACAAUGCGAGUAGAUGUUUGUCUGUUAAAUUACAAAUAUGUGGAGUGAGGCUAUAGCUUUUUUGGUGUUGAAAGGUGUCUUCAUGAGGCAAUAUAGCAAUCUAUAUCAAAAGCUUUCAAAUGUAAUUUGGCCAUUCUACUUUUAGGAAUUUAUGCUAAGAAAUAUGAUUUAGCUCAAGGACACUUAUCUUGUCCUUGUUAUUAAAAAGUAACUCAAAAUGAUAAUUAUCUAAUUCUAUAAUAGUAGAAGAAGGCAUGGAAAGAAGGCAUAUCAUACUGGAAAACAAUGAAGCUUUUUAAAAUGUGUGAUAGAAUUGUGUUUAUUGAUCAGGGAUGGGCUGCAACACCAUAUUUGUAAAAAUCAUAUAUCCUGGAUUUUUGUUUGUUUGUUUAUAUCUCUGUUACUAUGAGAUCUUUAAGGACGAAGACUUCUCCUUAACUAUCUCCCAGCACUCAGCACAGUUCCAGACAUGCAGUAACCACAAAACAAACAUUUAUUCCUUGUUAAAGCUGAAAAAAUAUAUCUGUGUGUGUAUGAAACAUGGAAGCUUUUAUUUUAAAGGUUAACGUGGUUAUCUGGGUAAUGGGAUAAUUUAUGGAUAAUAAAUUAUCCAUAUUUCUGAGUUUUUUUUAUAAUGAACAUUAUUAGUUGUGUAACAAAAUAAAAGAAGAAGUUUCUGUGCUCAAAAAGUCAGGACACACAGGUCUGUGACAUGCUUUUCCCUCUGGAAGGACAAGCCUGAAAGCAGAGACCCUGGAAAUUUACCGUCUAAGGAAGGGAAGUCUGGGCAGAGCUAAGUACACAGUCUCUGUGUUGUGCAGGGUUUGGGGACCUGGGCAGGGCUGUGUGCUCUUACCUCCUGGGUCCUGGACUGAAGAGCAGACUCGACUACAUCCCCUCUUGAUACAUUGUUCUCCAGCUCCACAGUCCCAGUCUCCUCGGCAGCGCUCCAUACAGAUUUCUAACAUCAGAAAAGGCUCAGUGAGUUGGUGGAAAUGUAAAUUGGUACAGCUGCUGUGGAGAACAGUGUGGAGGUUCCUCAAAAAACUAAAAAUAGAA